UACGGAGGGAGCUAGCGUUGUUCGGAAUUACUGGGUUUAAAGCGCACGUAGGCGGAUUUGUCAGUCAGGGGUGAAAUCCCGGGGCUCAACCUCGGAACUGCCUUUGAUACAGCAAGUCUCGAGUCCGAUAGAGGAGGGUGGAAUUCCUAGUGUAGAGGUGAAAUUCGCAGAUAUUAGGAAGAACACCGGUGGCGAAGGCGGCCCACUGGAUCGGUACUGACGCUGAGGUGCGAAAACGUGGGGAGCAAACAGG
rnacentral:rRNA from 1 species